rnacentral:rRNA from 1 species
GACGAACGCUGGCGGCAUGCUUAACACAUGCAAGUCGAACGGAAACGCCCUGCUUUUGUGGGGUGCUCGGGUGGCGACGGGGUGAGUAACACGUGAGUAACCUACCCUUGAUUUUGGGGGAACUUAAGGAAGCUGGGGCUAAUACAGGAUAGGAGAUCCUCCUGCAUGGAGGGGGUUGGAUCGUUUCGGCGGUCGGGGAUGGACUCGCGGCUUAUCGAUUUGUUGGUGGGGGAGUGGCUUACCCAGGCUUUGACGGGUAGCCGGCCUGGGAGGGGGACCGGCGACAUGGGGCCUGAGAGACGGAGCAGAGUCCUACGGGAGGCAGCAGUGGGGAGUAUUGUACAAUGGGCGCGAGCGUGUGACAGAGACGCCGCGGGCGGGAUGACGGCCUUCUGGGGGUGAACCGCUUUCGCCUGUGACGAAGCGUUAGUGACGGUAAUGGAUGAAGAAGCACCGGCUAACUACGUG